rnacentral:misc_RNA from 1 species
AAAUGCGAUAAGUAAUGUGAAUUGCAGAAUUCAGUGAAUCAUCGAAUCUUUGAACGCACAUUGCGCCCGCCAGUAUUCUGGCGGGCAUGCCUGUCCGAGCGUCAUUACAACCCUCAGGCCCCCGGGCCUGGUGUUGGGGAUCGGCCGAGCCCUCCGGGGCAGACGCCGUCCCCCAAAUUCAGUGGCGGUCUCGCUGCAGCCUCCAUUGCGUAGUAGCUAACACCUCGCAACUGGAACGCGGCGCGGCCAUGCCGUAAAACACCCAACUUCUGAAUGUUGACCUCGGAUCAGGUAGGAAUACCCGCUGAACUUAAGC